GAUGAACGCUGGCGGCGUGCCUAAUACAUGCAAGUCGAGCGCCAAGACGAGGAGCUUGUUCCAAUGGGGUUAGCGGCGGACGGGUGAGUAACGCGUGGAUAAGCUACCUAUGAGACGGGGACAACAUCGGGAAACGAGUGCUAAUACCGCAUAAUAUCUUCAACCGCAGGGUUCAAGAGUGAAAGAUGGCUUUGCUGUUCGUAAUAGAUGGAUCCGGGUCUCAUUGGUUAGUUGGUAGGGUAACGGCCAACCAAGGCGACGAUGCGUAGCGGGCCUGAGAGGGUGAUCGGCCACACUGGAACUGAGACACGGUCCAGACUCCUACGGGAGGCAGCAGUGGGGAAUCUUGGACAAGGGGCGAAAGCCUGACGGAGCAAUGCCGCGUGGGUGAGGAAGGUCUUCGGGUCGUAAAGCCCUGUUGUUGGGAAAGAAAAAAUGGAGAGUAAAACACUCACGUCUUGACGGUACCUAAACAGAAAGCCACGGCUAACUACGUG
rnacentral:rRNA from 1 species